AGAGUUUGAUCCUGGCUCAGGACGAACGCUGGCGGCGUGCCUAACACAUGCAAGUCGAACGGACUAAUGUUUGACACUGAGUGUUCUUCUAGAAAACGCAGCAGUGAGCCGCGUGACGCGAGCCUAAACAGGCAACCACUUUGACCAAGAACUAUAUUAGUAUAGAAACAAUAGUAAGGGAAUGAACAAAAGUGGCGAGCGUCGAAGCUAUCAAAAAGUGCCAACACAAGGAAGUAGUAUCUAGAAGGAAAGCAGUGAAGAGCACUGAGUGUCGAACAUUAGUUAGUGGCGGACGGGUGAGUAACGCGUGGGCAACCUACCUAUUAGUGGGGGAUAACAGUUGGAAACGACUGCUAAUACCGCAUGUGAUCACAGAUUUAGUUUGUGAGGAAAGAUGGCCUCUGAUAUAAGCUAUCGCAUAUAGAUGGGUCCGCGUCUGAUUAGUUAGUUGGUGGGGUAAAGGCCUACCAAGGCGACGAUCAGUAGCCGGCCUGAGAGGGUGAACGGCCACACUGGGACUGAGACACGGCCCAGACUCCUACGGGAGGCAGCAGUGGGGAAUAUUGCGCAAUGGGGGAAACCCUGACGCAGCGACGCCGCGUGAGCGAAGAAGGCCUUAGGGUUGUAAAGCUCUGUUGUAAGGGAAGAAUGGCAUCGGGAAUAAUACGCCUGAUGCAUGACGGUACCUUACGAGGAAGCCCCGGCUAACUACGUGCCAGCAGCCGCGGUAAGACGUAGGGGGCGAGCGUUGUCCGGAAUUACUGGGCGUAAAGAGCACGUAGGCGGAUAUUUAAGUCAGUUGUGAAAGACCGCAGCUCAACUGCGGGGUUGCAAAUGAAACUGGGUAUCUUGAGGGCAGGAGAGGGCAGUGGAAUUCCUGGUGUAGCGGUGAAAUGCGUAGAAAUCAGGAGGAACACCAGUGGCGAAGGCGGCUGUCUGGACUGACCCUGACGCUGAGGUGCGAGAGCGUGGGUAGCAAACAGGAUUAGAUACCCUGGUAGUCCACGCUGUAAACGAUGGAUACUAGGUGUGGGGGGUAUCGACCCCUUCCGUGCCGCAGCUAACGCAAUAAGUAUCCCGCCUGGGGAGUACGGUCGCAAGGCUGAAACUCAAAGGAAUUGACGGGGGCCCGCACAAGCGGUGGAGCAUGUGGUUUAAUUCGAUGCAACGCGAAGAACCUUACCAGGUCUUGACAUCUGUAGAACACUGUAGAAAUACGGUGGUGCCUUCGGGAGCUACAAGACAGGUGGUGCAUGGUUGUCGUCAGCUCGUGUCGUGAGAUGUUGGGUUAAGUCCCGCAACGAGCGCAACCCUUGCUAUUAGUUGCUAACAGGUAGAGCUGAGCACUCUAAUGGGACUGCCCGUGACAAGCGGGAGGAAGGUGGGGAUGACGUCAAAUCAUCAUGCCCUUUAUGAUCUGGGCUACACACGUGCUACAAUGGAUGGUACAGAGAGCAGCGAUGCCGCGAGGUGGAGCGAAUCUCAAAAAGCCAUUCUCAGUUCGGAUUGCAGUCUGCAACUCGACUGCAUGAAGUCGGAAUCGCUAGUAAUCGCGGAUCAGCACGUCGCGGUGAAUGCGUUCCCGGGCCUUGUACACACCGCCCGUCACACCACGAAAGUCGGCAACACCCGAAGCCGGUGACUCAACUAGCAAUAGAGAGAGCCGUCUAAGGUGGGGUUGGUAAUUGGGGUGAAGUCGUAACAAGGUAACC
rnacentral:rRNA from 1 species